AGGACGAACGCUGGCGGCGUGCUUAACACAUGCAAGUCGAACGGUAAGGCCCUUCGGGGUACACGAGUGGCGAACGGGUGAGUAACACGUGGGUGAUCUGCCCUGCACUUCGGGAUAAGCUUGGGAAACUGGGUCUAAUACCGGAUAUGACUACGAAUCGCAUGGUUUGUGGUGGAAAGCUUUUGCGGUGUGGGAUGGGCCCGCGGCCUAUCAGCUUGUUGGUGGGGUGAUGGCCUACCAAGGCGACGACGGGUAGCCGGCCUGAGAGGGUGUCCGGCCACACUGGGACUGAGAUACGGCCCAGACUCCUACGGGAGGCAGCAGUGGGGAAUAUUGCACAAUGGGCGCAAGCCUGAUGCAGCGACGCCGCGUGAGGGAUGACGGCCUUCGGGUUGUAAACCUCUUUCAGUAUCGACGAAGCGCAAGUGACGGUAGGUACAGGAAGAAGGACCGGCCAACUACGUGCCAGCAGCCGCGGU
rnacentral:rRNA from 1 species